rnacentral:rRNA from 1 species
GAGCACGUAGGUGGGUUUGUAAGUCAGAUGUGAAAGCCUUCUGUUCAACGGAAGAAUCGCAUCUGAAACUGGGAGUCUUGAGUGUAGGAGGGGAGAAUGGAACUUCUGGUGGAGCGGUGAAAUGCGUAGAUAUCAGAAGGAACUCCGGCGGCGAAAGCGAUUCUCUGGCCUAUUACUGACACUCAGUGUGCGAAAGCUAGGGGAGCAAACGGGAUUAGAUACCCCGGUAGUCCUAGCCGUAAACGAUGGGCACUAAGUAGAGGGGUUUU